rnacentral:tRNA from 2 species
GGGCCUGUAGCUCAGCGGAAGAGCAGGGGGCUCAUAACCCUUUGGUCGCAGGUUCGAACCCUGCCGGGCCCACCA